rnacentral:rRNA from 1 species
GGAUGCGAUCAUACCAGCACUAAUGCACCGGAUCCCAUCAGAACUCCGCAGUUAAGCGUGCUUGGGCGAGAGUAGUACUAGGAUGGGUGACCCCCUGGGAAGUCCUCGUGUUGCAACCC